rnacentral:rRNA from 1 species
GUCCACGCCCUAAACGAUGCGAACUGGAUGUUGGGCUCAACUCGGAGCUCAGUGUCGAAGCUAACGCGUUAAGUUCGCCGCCUGGGGAGUACGCUCGCAAGAGUGAAACUCAAAGGAAUUGACGGGGCCCGCACAAGCGGUGGAGUAUGUGGUUUAAUUCGAUGCAACGCGCAGAACCUUACCUGGUCUUGACAUGUCCGGAAUCCUGCAGAGAUGCGGGAGUGCCUUCGGGAACCGGAACACAGGUGCUGCAUGGCUGUCGU